rnacentral:lncRNA from 1 species
GUGAGGAAGGCCUUGGUGGACGGCGCGGGAAGGAUCGAUGGUGGGAAAUAUGUUGAAACUAGGGGGUGUGUUGUGCAAAUUAUUAAGAAUUGGGGGAUUUAGAUGUUAGAUUUAGGAAGGCGAGAUGGAACAAAAUAUUAUUUUGUAGAUAGUUUGGGUGGCUUAAUGCUUCUACAAAAUAUUAUUUAUUCAAUUAAUUAUUUGGUUACUAUUUUAAUA